UUCUUGGGGGAAACAACUUUAUAGAUUUUAAAUGAAGUCUGUUUAGAAGGAAAUUGCAAAGUUAUCUUUAAAAACUUAUUAUGAAUUUGAAAUUCUACAUUACACUUUUUUUUCUCAUAUGUCUAUAUGAUUGUGAAAGUAAAAUGAUGGGUGCUUUGAUUUGUGGAAUAUCCCUGUUUAACAUUAUGCAUGAUGAAUCAGUCCAGUUCUACAGUUGUAAAAUUUGAAAUCUGAGGUAUUUGUGGAAAUAGUGCUCAUGUAUCACAAAGGAUCUUAUUGAUAAUUAAGAAAUUGUGGAGAUAUAAGCAAUUUUCCAGGCAAUAUUUUGUAUAAAAUGUUUGGGUGUAAAUUCUUAAACUUUUCAAGCUACAGUCUUGUUAAUGAAAAUGACAAUAUUCUGGAUUAUGGGAUAUGCUGGUUGCAAAUGAAAUUUGAAUCUUGGACAAGAAGAUGAAAACCAGAAUCAUAAAAAAUCAGGUCACAGUACACCCCCCAGAGACGUUGAUCUACAUGAAACAAAGCAAAGGACUAAAACAGACAUGGUGAAGCUGCUUUAAACAGGAUCUUAAAUCACAAUGACAGGGACCAGUUAAGAAGAGAAAACACUUGCAAAGGCUUUAUUCCAAGUACCUAUAUAUGUAGACAUUAAUUUGGCAAAUACUGGCAAUAAAUUUUUACAAGAAAAAAAACUUUAUUAGCAUUUGUGAAUUUUUCUUCAAAUGAAAGGAUAUGCCUGCAGUGUUAUUCAUGACUUGGAUUUUAUUGAUGCAGUAUCAGUAGUGUAAGACUGUAACAGAAUGUAAUAAAAUAUAGUAAUCCAUUUAAGACAAAGUGAAAAUUUCUUAUAUUUAUCCCCAUCUUUAGUGAUAGUGAUUCUAGUUCAGUGAUAUUUCUGCUCACCUUAGCACAGAGUGCCAUUGUGAACUAUUGUGAUUGUAUAAUGUCUGCUAUUUAUACCUUAAUCUUGUAAAAAGAUAUUUUCUCCUCAACCAUUUCUUAUUUUUAAAGAUUGAGUAGCAACAAAUGCACAA